GAUGAACGCUGGCGGCGUGCCUAAUACAUGCAAGUCGAGCGAACAGACGAGGAGCUUGCUCCUCUGACGUUAGCGGCGGACGGGUGAGUAACACGUGGAUAACCUACCUAUAAGACUGGGAUAACUUCGGGAAACCGGAGCUAAUACCGGAUAAUAUAUUGAACCGCAUGGUUCAAUAGUGAAAGACGGUUUUGCUGUCGCUUAUAGAUGGAUCCGCGCCGCAUUAGCUAGUUGGUAAGGUAACGGCUUACCAAGGCAACGAUGCGUAGCCGACCUGAGAGGGUGAUCGGCCACACUGGAACUGAGACACGGUCCAGACUCCUACGGGAGGCAGCAGUAGGGAAUCUUCCGCAAUGGGCGAAAGCCUGACGGAGCAACGCCGCGUGAGUGAUGAAGGUCUUCGGAUCGUAAAACUCUGUUAUCAGGGAAGAACAAAUGUGUAAGUAACUAUGCACGUCUUGACGGUACCUAAUCAGAAAGCCACGGCUAACUACGUG
rnacentral:rRNA from 1 species